rnacentral:lncRNA from 1 species
GGCUGGGUCACAGCUAGAUUGCAUCGAAAUAUCAAUAGUAUAGAAAAUAGGAAUCGUGUUCUUUAUCUACUCGUUUGACUUAUUUUGUAUAUUGUAAGUUAGUUUUAUAUCAUGAUACAUAGAUGCGAAUGUUAUACAGUUCUCAAUACAAAUAAGUAUUUGGGUAAAAGUUAGAGAAACAUUCCCAUUUAUAUCAUGUUACAUAAAAGAAAUAUAUAUUAAGAAAUUACAAUGAGUUAUAAUUCAACCGUAAGAAUAGUGCGUUAAAAGUGUUAUAUUAUUAUUAUAACCAAAAAAAAAUUGUGUUAUUAAAUUAAAAACAAAAAAAUUGUCUUCAAGCUUAAG